rnacentral:rRNA from 1 species
UACGAAGGGGGCUAGCGUUGCUCGGAAUCACUGGGCGUAAAGGGUGCGUAGGCGGGUCUUUAAGUCAGGGGUGAAAUCCUGGAGCUCAACUCCAGAACUGCCUUUGAUACUGAAGAUCUUGAGUCCGGGAGAGGCGAGUGGAAUUCCCAGUGUAGCGGUGAAAUGCGUAGAUAUUGGGAGGAACACCAGUGGCGAAGGCGGCUCGCUGGACCGGAACUGACGCUGAGGCGCGAAAGCGUGGGGAGCAAACAGG